AAAUUGAAGAGUUUGAUCAUGGCUCAGAUUGAACGCUGGCGGCAGGCCUAACACAUGCAAGUCGAACGGUAGCACAGAGAGCUUGCUCUCGGGUGACGAGUGGCGGACGGGUGAGUAAUGUCUGGGAAACUGCCUGAUGGAGGGGGAUAACUACUGGAAACGGUAGCUAAUACCGCAUAACGUCGCAAGACCAAAGAGGGGGACCUUCGGGCCUCUUGCCAUCAGAUGUGCCCAGAUGGGAUUAGCUAGUAGGUGGGGUAACGGCUCACCUAGGCGACGAUCCCUAGCUGGUCUGAGAGGAUGACCAGCCACACUGGAACUGAGACACGGUCCAGACUCCUACGGGAGGCAGCAGUGGGGAAUAUUGCACAAUGGGCGCAAGCCUGAUGCAGCCAUGCCGCGUGUAUGAAGAAGGCCUUCGGGUUGUAAAGUACUUUCAGCGGGGAGGAAGGUGUUGUGGUUAAUAACCACAGCAAUUGACGUUACCCGCAGAAGAAGCACCGGCUAACUCCGUGCCAGCAGCCGCGGUAAUACGGAGGGUGCAAGCGUUAAUCGGAAUUACUGGGCGUAAAGCGCACGCAGGCGGUCUGUCAAGUCGGAUGUGAAAUCCCCGGGCUCAACCUGGGAACUGCAUUCGAAACUGGCAGGCUAGAGUCUUGUAGAGGGGGGUAGAAUUCCAGGUGUAGCGGUGAAAUGCGUAGAGAUCUGGAGGAAUACCGGUGGCGAAGGCGGCCCCCUGGACAAAGACUGACGCUCAGGUGCGAAAGCGUGGGGAGCAAACAGGAUUAGAUACCCUGGUAGUCCACGCCGUAAACGAUGUCGACUUGGAGGUUGUGCCCUUGAGGCGUGGCUUCCGGAGCUAACGCGUUAAGUCGACCGCCUGGGGAGUACGGCCGCAAGGUUAAAACUCAAAUGAAUUGACGGGGGCCCGCACAAGCGGUGGAGCAUGUGGUUUAAUUCGAUGCAACGCGAAGAACCUUACCUACUCUUGACAUCCAGAGAACUUUCCAGAGAUGGAUUGGUGCCUUCGGGAACUCUGAGACAGGUGCUGCAUGGCUGUCGUCAGCUCGUGUUGUGAAAUGUUGGGUUAAGUCCCGCAACGAGCGCAACCCUUAUCCUUUGUUGCCAGCGGUUAGGCCGGGAACUCAAAGGAGACUGCCAGUGAUAAACUGGAGGAAGGUGGGGAUGACGUCAAGUCAUCAUGGCCCUUACGAGUAGGGCUACACACGUGCUACAAUGGCGCAUACAAAGAGAAGCGACCUCGCGAGAGCAAGCGGACCUCAUAAAGUGCGUCGUAGUCCGGAUUGGAGUCUGCAACUCGACUCCAUGAAGUCGGAAUCGCUAGUAAUCGUAGAUCAGAAUGCUACGGUGAAUACGUUCCCGGGCCUUGUACACACCGCCCGUCACACCAUGGGAGUGGGUUGCAAAAGAAGUAGGUAGCUUAACCUUCGGGAGGGCGCUUACCACUUUGUGAUUCAUGACUGGGGUGAAGUCGUAACAAGGUAACCGUAGGGGAACCUGCGGUUGGAUCACCUCCUUA
rnacentral:rRNA from 2 species